UUGGAGUGUAGUUUUUAUUGGAGUAUAGUUUUUAUUGGAGUGUAGUUUUUAUUGGAGUAUAGUUUUUAUUGGAGUGUAGUUUUUAUUGGAGUGUAGUUUUUAUUGGAGUGUAGUUUUUAUUGGAGUAUAGUUUCUUAUUGGGAGUGUAGUUUUUAAUGGAGUAUAGUUUUUAUUGGAGUGUAGUUUCUUAUUAGAGUAUAGUUUUUAUUGGAGUAUAUUUUUUAUUGGAGUGUAGUUUUUAUUGGAGUGUAGUUUUUAUUGGAGUAUAGUUUUUAUUGGAGUGUAGUUUUUAAUGGAGUGUAUUUUUUAUUGGAGUGUAGUUUCUUAUUAGAGUAUAGUUUUUAUUGGAGUGUAGUUUUUAUUGGAGUAUAUUUUUUUUAUUGGAGUAUAGUUUUUAUUGGAGUAUAGUUUUUUAUUGGAGUAUAGUUUUUAUUGGAGUAUAGUUUUUAUUGGAGUGUAGUUUUUUUAAAUUGGAGUAUAGUUUUUAUUGGAGUAUAGUUUAUUUAUUGUAGUAUAGUUUUUUAUUGUAGUAUAGUUUUUUUUAUAUUGGAGUAUAGUUUUUUAUUGCAGCAGAGCAGAAUCAAAAACAUCAAAGGGUGGUGGGGGGUUGGCCACAUCUGAUUUUUAACAUCUAUAGUGGUUACAAGCCAAG
ensembl:lncRNA